rnacentral:rRNA from 1 species
CACGAAGUUAGCCGUCCCUUCCUCUUCCGGUACUAUCAACCCUGUCUGCUAUUCACAGCCAGGUCUUACUCCCGGAUGACAGGAGUUUACAAUCCGAAGACCGUCAUCCUCCACGCGGCGUUGCACCAUCAGGGUUGCCCCCAUUGUGAAUUAUUCUCGACUGCUGCCACCCGUAGGUGUCUGGACCGUGUCUCAGUUCCAGUGUGCCUGAUCGUCCUCUCAGACCAGGUACCCGUCGUAGCCUUGGUGAGCCGUUACCUCACCAACAAGCUGAUAGGGCGCGAACCAAUCCUAUAGCGACAGCCAUUGCUGGCCACCUUUACUCUUGCGAGACCAUGGGGUAUUAAUCCAAGUUUCCCUGGGCUAUUCCCCACUAUAGGGCAUGUAAUUCACGUGUUACUCACCCGUGCGCCACUAAACAAGAAUCGUAUUACUACUCAACUUGUCCCGUGCGACUUGCAUGUCUUAAACACGCCGCCAGCGUUCGUUCUGUAGCCACGGAGU